AUCCGAUUUACAUAUUUAGAAUAACUUCGGCAGUGACGAGUGUGUUAUUAUCCUCCACAGAUGCAAAAGUCGGAUCAGCACCCUGCGAGGCGAACCGGGGACGGCCUACUCCUUUCGUGAGGACCACAAUCACGAGAGCAAAUUUGACUUCAAAAAUAGGGACAUUAAGGUUCUCAAGGUGGCCAAACUGUUGAUUGUUGGCAAAAACCGUUAGAUUGCGUUGAUUUUAAUUUCAGACUAAACAAUAAAACAAAAAAUAGUUUUUCGUAAUCUUAGUCUUGAUUCUGUUGGACACUGUUUUAAAUGAAAAUUCUUGGAAAAAAUAGAUAAAAAAAUAUAAAUUUCACUAACCCAUAAAAAUGUUCAUUGCAGAUAAUAAAUCUGAUGAAAGUAAUAUCUACGUCGUGUGCACCGCCGAAGGGGAGUACAAGAUUCAGGAGAAACCUGCAGCUAAAGCUAGACAAACAAAAGAGACCAAAGCUCUAUUUAAGGCUUCGUCACCGAUGCGGGUUGUUUGCAUCCUAGGCGGAUUCACAUUUCCAAUCUCCGAUGGCGAUGAAGUGGAACGAUUGGAAAAAACUAUUUCGGAACGGGCCGACAUUCGCGAGGAAUAUGUGAAAUUGUUGAAGCGCAAAUCGAAACAUAUCAAACUAUUCCAAUUUAUGCCGUCAGUUUUCUCGGAUGAAGCUCUGGAAGGAUAUAACUUCAAUGGAGCAAACGUGCUUGGUAGGCGCAAGAUCGCCAUGAAAGGUUACAAUAUUUUCAGCAGUUGUUUCAUGGAUGCUUACGAAUCGGAAGGGCUAACCAUGGAAGAACUGGCCAACCAAAUAACCACGGCCAUCAAGCAGACUCGUAACAGAAUGCGUCAGCGUACCUUCCGGGUGAAGAGAUCUAUCGAGAAGAUGUUGAAGGAAAAAUCGGAACACUAGCUGGUUGUGUUCGUUUUGGAGUAAACUGGGAAUUUCACCGAUAACCCGUUGGGACUGUUGUAGGAAAGAAUUAGUUCAGUACUCGAUUAGAUUCAUACCUGACUGAUUAUGUAUUUUGUACUUAUUUGAUUCUAGCGAAUCAACUUAAUAAUUUUCAUGUAAACAAUAUAAAAGUAUCAUGAUUUUAAUAUGAGUUAUAUUAGAUUUCGAUGCUAUUACAAGGUUAUUAUUUUUCUAAAAUGAAUAAAUAAGUUAAAAAUAUAACGCAUCUGAAGCAGAAAAAACAACCAAUUUGCAAAUAAUGUCUGUAUACAGUUGCUGAACACUGUAAGACGGCAUCGCUUCAUUUAUCAAUCUAGUACCUCAUUCAUGCGAUAUCAAACCACAUCAAACUGUUUCCUUUGUUUAACAGAAAUUGCCGUGGACGACAUUAAGCUGGAAAGCAUUCCCAUCCAAGUGGAUUCUACACUUUCAACCACCGGUAAUGCAGUACUAGAUCAACUAGCAGAAACUCAUAAAAGUGAGGAUAUAAAGUUGCAAAAAACUAGACCCACGUGUACAUGAAGGUACGGCCGGCAGACCACUUCAUAUGCAGCCAAACAUCAACCAAAAUGAGCGACGUCCUCCGAGUAGAAAGCAUUCCAAAUCAGUUUGCGUGGCUGGAUUUGAAUUUCCUCUGACAUGCGAAGAGGAUGUCGACCGGUUGGAACUGAUGGUCAAACGGAAUCCUAUCAUCAGAAACCAAUAUAUCAAAUAUCUGGCAGCGAAUAAACUACCCAACACGGAGAUUGCUCACAUCCUUUACCGAUUUUUCAACGACGAAGCCCUCUCUAAUUUCAACUGGACUGGCCAGGAACGGUACGACUCUAGUGCUUCGUGUAAAAAGAAAGCCAUGCAAAAGUUCGACAUUUUCAAUUCAUGUAUGCUAGAUGCGUGGUCCAGCCAUGGUGUUACGCAGGACGCUUUGGCUGGUUCGCUGAUGAAAGCUGUGCAACUGGUUGCUCGACGACGGUACAAUCUCAUCUACAAUCAGCGGAAACGACUUCAAGCGCUGGAUCCCGAGCACUGAUGUUUUCCAGUGGAGGUCGUGAAAUAACACAGCUUCAUACACAGUUAUCAUUUAACUAAAAUUUUCUUCUAAUCUAGUACCUCUGAUGAGUUUUACCUUCUUAUAUUUUGAUCGUAACUAGAAAAAAAAACAAUAUAUUUCUUUUUUGAUCUAGUACUUCACACGUUUCAAUCGUUUUUUUCUGGACAAAUUCUUCAAAUUAAAUUGAACGAAGAUUUCUUUUAACUUUACAUAACUAAGUUUGUCUGUUUCUUUGCAGCAACUACAGGGAACAAAACAGAAAUGCCUACGACUUAUCCGAAAAUUGAAAUCAUCUCUCAAAUACGAUUGCAUCCACCACAAGAAAAUCCAACGAUUUCGCGACUGCACGGCUUACUGAGAAGAUCCAGCGCAGAAGGGGCAUCUGGAAAAGUUCCUUUGUAUAGUGGCAGCGACAUCUACAUAGCAAUGGAGGACCUGGUAAAAAUCUAUUCUCCCAACCCGGCUCUCUACACUGCCCGACUGUUGGACAUAAUAUUCGGUAGAGAGAUACUGGUGGGUGCUUGCACUAGACGACUGGUGGAUGAUGGUGAUUUGGAACAACUGGAUUCUCAUAAACUGCGAUCUGUGAUUGGUAAGGACGUUUAUCGGCCUGUUGGGUAGUACCAGAUCGGUAUUCAAUCAACACUUUUUUUUUCUGUUUACAGUGCAUGUGAUUAAUGUUUUCAAAAAACAAAACAUUGAAAUAUCAGAAUCGAUUGUAUUGGAAUACGUUCGUCAUCGGCUAUGCUUCCUUAAACAAAUGAAAAAGGAAAAAGUUAUUCAAGACCUGUCUUUAUUCGAAUGUAGUACUAGUACUUCGUCAGUUUAAAUUUCUGGUAUACUAUUUGAAAGAUACGCGAAUGUUUAUGUUUUGUAAUAUAAAAAACCCUUUCAACUUAAAUACUAACAUUAUUCUUCUUUAUAGAUCAGCGUAAUCUGAAACAGGCUACAAUAAUUUUCAACGUUCCAUGGAAUCGAAUACAGUAUUGAGUUAUUUAUUACCAUCAUUUUUUAAUGGAAUGGUUUUCGAGGAAAUAUAUGAAAUUUUAAAAACCAACGUAUCUUAUACUUCUUUACAUAUAUUGAGCCAUUUCUACCACUAGAUGUAUUCUAAAUUAACCGUUCUUGUAUCGUCACGUGUUUCCAGGCUCCCCCAAACUCCGGGCGGCCAAGUUCGGUUACACCCAGAAGGGAAGGGCGAUGCUGCUGUACAACGGGUAUGCCUACAUCAAAGACCGCCAGGCUCAGAAGAGCUGCAACUGGAAAUGCUCGUUGUUCGGAAAGCUGAAAUGCCGAGCCAGGGCCGUCACGAAGGAGGUUAACGGGCGGCAGAUGAUGAAAAUCACCAAACCCCUCCAUAACCACACUCGCGAUGUGUAUUCGUUUGAUAAGUGUAAAAAAUCUAAGGAAUAAGUUUCUGACAAAAAUGUCAGAUGUUCUAACACAACGAAACAUUAGCAAGCUUUUUAUUGUAUGUGUAAUCAACUUAAAAUUACGUUCCAAAAAUUAUCAAAAUAACACAAUGUACUCUUCUAUCAUUUAUGUACAAAUUCUAGUACUUCAUGUCUUAAGAUAUCGUUUCGAGUAUAUUUUUGGUGGUAUUCUAUGCCUUCCUUGUCCUCAUUAUCACUUAUUUUUUUCUCUCAGAAAUUGACUGAUAUCGGGUCUUUGAUUAGUGAAGACAUUAGUGGUAAUAUAGUACUAGAAUACUUAGUGCAGACAAACUGAAACCUAAUUGAUACGACACGAGUGAGUCACUAACAUUUUUAUCUGUAUCCCCAACAGGAAACGUAAUAUAUGUGCUAUCGAAGCGUGGCACCAAGCAUCUGUUUCACGAUGGAAACACCUACACUCCAAAUGAGCGACCCUACCCAGGGCAGCGGUCCCGAACGUGGAAAUGCUCGUUGUACUACCGGCUCAAGUGUCGCGCCCGCAUUGUCACCAGUGGAGCCGAUGGGCUACCCAAGCUGCGGGUGGUGGUUGCAGAACAUACCCACUCGAAAGUGUUCCCCAAUUUAACGCAUAAAUUUCGCAGUUUGUUCUAGUAGGUUGAACAAAUUAAACAAUCUAGUCUACUAUUCAAGGAUCUCAAUGUUUUAUAAGUGAACAACCAUGCAUGCUUUAAGAGCAUUUUUUUACAAUCGGAAAGAUGCAGAUUCUUCGUAAAUCUACUUUUUUUUCAUUAUAUUUUAGUUAUUCAUAAUAUAUAGGUAUUCAGUAGAGUGCGUCUGAUGGAGUACUAGAUUUGUAGUGAUGAGCUAUAUAAUGCCCAUGAUGUUUACACUAUUUCAUUGCAGAAGAGAAGAAUUUAUGAUCUCAUCAUACAAACAUCCAGCUCAGUACCAUACAUCUAGUACUACAUCGAUCCUGCCCUACAGGUGUAGUUUGCAGGCAAAACUUUGCAGACACAUGGUAGGAUGGCACAUGUUUCCCAAAUGGAGGAGAACGUGCCUCUGGAGCCUAUCUACUGAUAGGCUCUGGCUACGCAUAUUGUAUUUUCAUUAUAUCGACACCAACAUUUCAAAAGGGCGUAACUGCUUUUGGAAUCAUCACCUUCCUUUAAAGCUGUGGAUCAUGUGUUAUGAUUUCCAUGUUUUUCACAACAAGUACCAAAUGGGAAAAACUCUCCUCUUUCCGACAACCACGGUGGUUUGAGUGUAAGGGAGGCAGUACGACCUACAGCUUUGAAAGAAGGUAUUACUUCCAAAUUCAGUUACGCCCUUUUGAAAUGUUGGUGCCGAUAUAACAAGAAGUUCUAGAUACUGGAUACCGUCACUUUAAGAAUAUCACAGUUCUUUGAUUGAUUUGCCAUAUGUUUCAAUUAGUUCUUUUUACUACAUUGUAUCAGUAAACGUAUCAUGCUUUAACGACUAAUUUAUACCAUUGCAGAUAUUGUUUUCGUGGUGAAUAACGUGGGUGGCCUUCAACUAUGCGUAGAUGGAUGUCCCUUCAUCCGAUCGAGGACAACCGACGAAGUUCAGUAUUGGACGUGUAAACAACGAAAACGUCUAGGGUAAGUUAAUCGUUUCCAUUCGCAGCUUCCCGGUUUGUGCCUCUGUACGUCGUCGAGAGAAAGGACAAAAACCACUGGUUAAGCUGAGUGGAUGUCACAACCAUCUGCUCAUCACGGAGCGCCAGAGAUUUGGAGAGAGUUCCACGCUAAUGCAAAUAAUCGCACGUGGACGCCAAGUUGUAGCAGAGAAAAGGAAACGUGCCACUUCGAAGCAAAGGCGAGCAGCAGCAACGGAAUAGUGUUUUUUUUUUUAUUUGAAGAAUAAACAUUUGAGAGAUGCUUUGUAUUAGAGUUCUAGUACUACAUUGAUUUGUUUCUACCUUUGCGAUUUGAUCUAAAACGACGUUAUAUUAAAUGAAUAGUUUCUUACAAGACACACAUAUAAAAAUCUGGUACAAUUCACCAGUUUGUAUAAAAAUUCUUGUUAGUACAAGCCGUCGUGACUAGUUUAUCAAUAUUUUUAACAAUUGUUUCAAUAGUUUUAAUAAUUACAUCUGUUUUUUUAAUACCUCCUCAGUCAAACGAAGAUAUGCCGGAGCACAGAUCGAGUACCGAGGCAGAGACGUGACGUUUUCGCCAAGCUGCCGCGGUAUGCCAAAAAUGACUCUGGAAGGGUACGUCUACAUUCGGAACGCUGGCAAUGCUACCAAAACGUACUGGCUUUGCGAGCGUGGAAAGCGAUUCAAGUGUCGCGCCCGUGCGAUAACGUACCGAGGCACAGGGCGCAUCACCAUCAACGAACACUCCCACAAUCACAUGUCGGGAUUUUAGGACAAAAACUCAAAUUAGUGGAAUAAAUUCAAUGAUAAAUUA